UAGCCCUCAUGUAGCAAAGGAGAGAGAUGCAGUGUUUAGAGUGAAAUGCUACUGACAUGCCAAGAACUAUUUUCUAUAGCCGCAGGUGAAUUCAGAGGUGGACCUAAGGAAGAGGGACCAACUGUGGACACACAUUUAGAUCCACAAGAUUGUCUGAUUUUCAUAAUCAAGAGAGAAGUCAUCCACACAUUUCGUCUUUUUAGGAAUCAUCAGCAAGUCACAGAAACAGAUCUUAUAUAGAAUAUGUUUACACAUUUUAAAAACAACAUUUUUAUGAAGGCCAAAUGUUCCUUGAUAAGAAGUUUUAGCAAUAGAUUUGGUAAGCAUUAUAAUUGAGAAGAAUGAGAUUUUUCAAUAUAUACAAUGAAAUUUAUGACCAUGUAAAUAAAAUACAUUCUGCCUUUA